UACGACGGGGGCUAGCGUUACUCGGAUUGACUGGGCGUAAAGGGCGCGUAGGCGGCGCGGAUAGUCGGCGGUGAAAGCCCGGAGCUCAACUCCGGGUCGGCCGUCGAUACUUCCGGGCUUGAGCACUGUAGAGGCAGAUGGAAUUCCGGGUGUAGCGGUGGAAUGCGUAGAGAUCCGGAAGAACACCGGUGGCGAAGGCGGUCUGCUGGGCAGUUGCUGACGCUGAUGCGCGACAGCGUGGGGAGCAAACAGG
rnacentral:rRNA from 1 species